AUUGAACGCUAGCGGCAUGCCUAACACAUGCAAGUCGAACGGCAGCACGAGGAGCUUGCUCCUUGGUGGCGAGUGGCGGACGGGUGAGUAACGCGUAGGAAUCUGCCUCGUAGUGGGGGACAACCCGGGGAAGCUCGGGCUAAUACCGCAUAAUCUCUUCGGAGCAAAGUUGGGGACCUUCGGGCCUAACACUAUGAGAUGAGCCUGCGUUGGAUUAGCUAGUUGGUGGGGUAAAGGCCUACCAAGGCGACGAUCCAUAGCUGGUUUGCGAGGACAGACAGCCACACUGGGACUGAGACACGGCCCAGACUCCUACGGGAGGCAGCAGUGGGGAAUAUUGGACAAUGGGCGAAAGCCUGAUCCAGCAAUGCCGCGUGUGUGAAGAAGGCCUUCGGGUUGUAAAGCACUUUUAGUGGGGAAGAAAAAGACAAGGAUAAUACCCUUGGAAAUUGACGUUACCCACAGAAAAAGCACUGGCUAACUCUGUGCCAGCCGCCGCCGUAA
rnacentral:rRNA from 1 species